GUGCUUGCUUCGGCAGUCCAUAUACAAAAAUUGGAACAAUACAAAGAUGAUUAGCAAGGCCCCUGUGCAAGGAUGACACUCAAAAUUCUUUUUUUUUUU
rnacentral:snRNA from 1 species